AUGUUUUCCCGUUGCAACGCACGGGCAUUUUUGCUAGUAGUUACUUAUGUUAAGAAUGAAAUUCUUGCUAUUGUACCCACACAUGAUAGUCCUAUUAUCGUUUUGAAUUCUCCAAACUACACUAUAUCGGAAAAGUUUGCUCUGAUUAAGGAUUACAUUGAUGGGUUGCCUUUUACCGUUGCACAUGAUGAUUUUGAUGAAUAUAAUAUGCAUGUGCUUGCUUAUCCUACUUGCAAUUAUUAUGAGAGAGGAACUACAUCUCAAUCUCUUUAUGUUUCCAACACGAUAGAAUUGCAAGAAACUACUUAUACUGUGUAUUGGCCUUUACUUGAUGUGCAUGAAUUGUUCUUGUAUGACAUGCCGAUGCAUAGGAAGAGAUUUAGACUUCGUCAUUGCAUGAUAUAUGUUACUUUGUGCUCACUACUAAAUGCCAAAUCAUUGUUAAUUAAAAUUGGCUUUGACAUACCUCAGGAUCCGGGUGGAUUCAUUACUUGA
rnacentral:rRNA from 1 species